rnacentral:lncRNA from 1 species
GCCGGCCGUGGGGAGCGGACGCAGUGAUUUGCUCCCCCUCGUGCAGCAACCCCCACACCCAGCACCAGGAGCCUGUUCCUCUCACGCCCUCACCUGGCUGAGCCGCAGUAGUUCUUCAGUGGCAAGCUUUAUGUCCUGACCCAGCUAAAGCUGCCAGUUGAAGAACUGUUGCCCUCUGCCCCUGGCUUCGAGGAGGAGGAGGAGCUGCUUUCCCCAUCAUCUGGAAGGCUUUCUGCCUCCGAGAUGUGGCACCAUAGUGCGGUGCCCUGUGGCUUCACCGCCCUACUUCCACCUCCGCCCAGCCUGUAAUGUUUAUAUAAGCAGCCUCAAGGACCAAGAACCAUCUGCGAAAGGACACACACAGGAAAUUCAUAAAAGAAAUCUGAAUGGAUAAAACCAUGAAAAAAAGUAUGCUUCAUUAGUAAUUAAAGAAAGGCAAAUAGAGCUGGAAGCAUUUUUCCCUUAGCAAACCAUAACAGAAAAAAAUAAGACCCAAUAUUGGCAAAGAGACUACUGAAAAAACAUUCCCAUACAU